GACGAACGCUGGCGGCGUGCCUAAUACAUGCAAGUCGAACGCAGUUGGCACGGGUGAGUAACCCGUGGGUAACCUCCCAUCAGAGGGGAUAACCCUUGGAAACAGGUUCUAAACCGCUACUGCUGGAUGGACCCGCGGUGCAUUAUCUAGUUGGUGAGGGAACGGCUCACCACGGCCACGAUGCAUAGACGACCUGAGAGGGUGAUCGGCCAAACUGGGACUGAGAAACGGCCCAGACUCCUACGGGAGGCAGCAGUAGGGAAUCUUCGGCAAUGGACGAAAGUCUGACCGAGCAACGCCGCGGGAGUGAAGAAGGUUUUCGGAUCGUAAAACUCUGUUGUUAGAGAAGCGGUAUCUAACCAGAAAGCCACGGCUAACUACGUGCCAGCAGCCGCGGUAAUAC
rnacentral:rRNA from 1 species